GGCCACCUACAUGGCCAAGGCUCUCCACCUCGUAUCAUCAGCCUGGACCCCGCUGUACAUGGAGUCCCCUUUCCUGCUGGUAUUGAAGUUACAUGAGAAAUGUGUGUACCUAUGAAGCAGAACUUGGAAGAAGAAUCAGAUUUUGUUAAGCAGUUUCUCCAGUUUCACAGUUAUGCUUCAAGAUUACCCUUUCCCCACAACUUCUGACCCCUGUUACAGAUAAGGAAAAUAACAAAAUUGGUACAGAGUCCUGUGAUGUCCAGGUUCCUCAGAAAUCUGCUUUCCUUCAAAGCUAACCUCUGCUGUAGUACUGAUUAAGUAGACAAUUAUAUUCCUGUAGAUGGAGACCUGUGACAUCUUAGAAACUGUUUUCUCUCAAGAAAUACAGCUAAGGUAGACAACUGUGUUUCUGUGAAUAAGAUCUUAUGACACCCUUGACUGCCCUGUAACUGUUUACUUUCAAGGCUGAUCUGAGAACUGUCACUGAGUAAAUAACUGUCUUUGUCUCUUUUUGUGCUAGCCUCCUUGCCCAAAUUUAUAAAAUCUGGAGCCUUUCCUUUGUCUGAUGCUCAGCCAUUUUGAACUAUUACUUUUUUUUUUUUUCCGGUACAGGGAAUUGAACUCAUGACCUUGCACUUGCCAGGCAGGCACUGUGCCGCUGAGCUAAAUCCCCAGCUGCUCAGCCAUUUUGAACACACAAAAGUGCCAGCUGAGCCAGUGUGCACCUAAAAUCCUAGAAUAAAAUCCUCCUGUUUCCCUG